rnacentral:lncRNA from 1 species
UUACAGAAGGGUGUUUCACAGUUUCUGUGUAAGACUUUGCUUUCAUUUGCUGAUAACUUUACAAUACUUGAAAUGUUUGGGCUGAAAUUUUCCAGCGUGGGCAUCUAUUUCAAAAUAAUUUUUCACACACUCAUAUAUACACAUGUACGCACAGAGAGAUUUACAGUUACAGCUGAAUGUUUUAGUUCUUUCCCCCUGCAAAAAAAAAAAAAAAAAAAAAAAGUGGGAGGGCUACAAGAAUAUAUAUUAUUUUGCCCAGCAUGAAGAACGCUGAUGAUCUUACCUCUAAAAAGAUUUACCUUGGAAUUUUUGCUUAAUACAUAGCAAGGAGGUAGCUUUUGUGCUAGAUUUAUCACUUUUAAUUUCUGCAAAAAAAUGUGAAUGUGAUAUGACGAUAGCUGAAUGUGACUUCUUAUAUUUAGAAAAAUCUUACUUCACGUGUAGCAGAGAGACAUGAGACAUCUUAGAUCGUUACAGCUGAAAAUUCCACAAAAGCAUCAUGUUUGAGGAUUUCAUUGUGAUGCAAUGAUGCAUCACAAAAGCAUCCAAAAAGGACUUUUGCCAGCUCUGAACUGUGAUGGGGUGUGCUGGAGAUGUGGUAGGAACUCCCCUUCGGCCCAGGUCUGUGGGCUGCCAUCCCAUUGUACUUGCCUGACUGACUGCACACUGCACCUUCCCUGCUCCGUUUACUGCGUGGCACAGUGGACGAGGGUGGCCUCAGCAGUGAAGGAGAGUGCUGGCUGCAGGGCCCUGCCUUUACUUAGGUUGAAACUGGGAGAUGUGGAUUUGAAAAGAAAGUUUCCAGAAGACUUAAAGAAGAAAUCAGAGUAUGGACUUUUUGCUCUCUGAAAUGUAAGAAAACAUGCUGAUAACUUCUAUAAUUUAUAUUAAAAAUGAAUUUAAAAGGAAAUUAUUUUUAUAUAAAGAGGAGAGGAGAGGAGAGGAGAGGAGCGGAGCGGAGCGGAGCGGAGCGGAGCGGAGCGGAGAGGAGCGGAGAGGAGAGGAGAGGAGAGGAGAGAGAUCGG